GCUGGGCGUGGUGACGGGUGCCUGUAAUCCCAACUACUUGGGAGGCCGAGGCAGGAGAAUCGCUUGAACCCGGGAGGCGGAGGUUGCAGUGAGCCAAGAUUGUGCCACUGCACUCCAGCCUGGGUGACAGAGCGAUACUCUGUCUCAA
rfam:Chlorocebus sabaeus isolate 1994-021 chromosome 14, whole genome shotgun sequence.